CCGAGUUAGGGUACUCUUUCGUGCCCGACCUCCAACCCUUUGUCUACCUGACCAGAUGUUGCUUCGGCAGGCCCGCCGCCCCGCAAGGGGUAGCCGCCGGGGGUCCUUACCGGCCUCCGGGUCCGCGCCUGUCGAUGGCCCUCUAUAAACUCUUGCUUAAACCGUGUCGUCUGAGUAAAACAAACAAAAUAAAAACA
rnacentral:misc_RNA from 1 species